rnacentral:lncRNA from 1 species
GUGCAAACAGCGGAGCAAGAAGCACUAGCUGCUAGAAGCCGUUUGCCCCAGCUGUGCGUGAGCCGCGGCUAUUUAUUUAUCCCUAGAACAAUAAAGGUUGGGGACAUCGGUGAUAAUUAUAACGAGCAGGAACUUUACUUAUCCAGAGGAUUGCGAAGGGUUGUUGUGUUUUUUUUUAGCUCUGUUUCUUUUUUAGUGUUAUUGUCUCCAGCUGGGAGGAGACUCCCCGCUCUCCGGAGGAAGCUUUAAUGAGGACAGAGAGGCCAGCAGGAGUGUGAAUGAUUUAUCCUUGGGCGCUCCUGCCCUCCCGCGCUAUUAUCGGCACAGGGCUGACACCGACUUCCCGCCGGGGCCGGGAGCGAGGGAGGGCUGCAAGGUCGCUGCGACUCGGGGCUGCUGCGGAGCAGAGCAAAAAAAAAAAAAAGGGGGGGAAAGGAAGAAAACAGGCUGCUGCCUCGGCUCGGUCCUGCAGCGCCGGGCUCCGCUCUCGGGGCUCGGCUCGGCGCCACGUGGGAGGGGGAUGCUCACGACAGCCCGGGACCCCGGGUCUGCACCCUGGGGUGCUGCUGGGCCCUCCCCGGAGGGCUUUGGGUGGCCCCGGUGCCAGCUGUGCAGCCAGCUGUGCACGGCCAGGUCGCUGCAGCCCUCGAGCUGCUGCUCGCAGCUGCGCCGCCGUUAAGGUGGAACCUGCCAGCGCUGGAGGGAGCAGCGGCCCCAGGAGCCCCGCGGGCCGGGCCCCCUCCGCAGCCCGCUCGUCCCGGCCCCGGGAGCCCCGGGAACGCUCCCUGCGGGGUCCAUGGGUGCCGGCACCCGCCGCCGCGCAGCACCCGCCGCGGGGACCUGCAGGAACGAGGGCAGCUUGCGGCCGCUGCUGCCGCCUCCUGCCGCCGCCUCGGCGAGGAGAGCGUGUCCUGCCGCCUCCGACCCUGCGGGAAACCCGGAGGCGUCCCCAAACACCCUGCCUGCAGCUCCCCUUGGCCCCCCGCGCUGAAAGCCCCUGCAGCCCCUUGCACCGCCGCCCGCGCUGCAGUGCCCAGGGCUCCCUCGGCCCCUUCCCUGCCCGGGUCCGAGCAUCCCGCCCUGGCAAGAGAGCGGCGCCGAGGCCGGGCCACCUUAAACGCGACAUCCUCCCGGGCGCGAGCGGGGCCG